rnacentral:rRNA from 1 species
AAGACCUUGCGCUUUUGGAGCGGCCGAUGCCUGAUUAGCUUGUUGGUAAGGUAAAAGCUUACCAAGGCUUCGAUCAGUAGCUGGUCUGAGAGGACGACCAGCCACACUGGGACUGAGACACGGCCCAGACUCCUACGGGAGGCAGCAGUGGGGAAUUUUGGACAAUGGGGGCAACCCUGAUCCAGCCACGCCGCGUGAGUGAAGAAGGCCUUCGGGUUGUAAAGCUCUUUCAGCCGGAACGAAACGGUUACGGUUAACACCCGUGACUACUGACGGUACCGGAAGAAGAAGCACCGGCUAACUACGUGCCAGCAGCCGCGGUAAUACGUAGGGUGCGAGCGUUAAUCGGAAUUACUGGGCGUAAAGCGUGCGCAGGUGGUUUUGUAAGUCAGAUGUGAAAGCCCCGGGCUCAACCUGGGAACU